AGGAGGAACAGGCCCAGUUGGACUACAUCUUGCAUCACACAACGAAGGCUGAGCUCCAGACUGGCAAUCACUGCUCUGCUCUACCCUCUGUGCUUCCAAGUAGAACACAGAGCCACAGCACAGAACCUGUGAGAACCUGGGGAGGUGAAAUGUGACUGGCCCACAUGUCUUCAGCCGUGGCCUUCAACCCUCCAACGUGAGCAAGAAUAAGCCUUUUCCUGCAUAUAUUGCUUUUGUCUCUGAUCACAGCAAUAAGAAAAGCAACUGGUAAACCUA